CGAUCUGUCAGCUUGUAAAGCACAGCUGGGGCUGGGACACAGCUAUUCCCGUGCCAAAGUUAAGUUUAAUGUGAACCGGGUGGACAAUAUGAUCAUCCAGUCCAUUAGCCUCCUGGACCAGCUGGAUAAGGACAUCAAUACCUUCUCUAUGCGUGUCAGGGAGUGGUACGGGUAUCACUUUCCGGAGCUGGUGAAGAUCAUCAACGACAAUGCCACAUACUGCCGUCUUGCCCAGUUUAUUGGAAACCGAAGGGAACUGAAUGAGGACAAGCUGGAGAAGCUGGAGGAGCUGACAAUGGAUGGGGCCAAGGCUAAGGCUAUUCUGGAUGCCUCACGGUCCUCCAUGGGCAUGGACAUAUCUGCCAUUGACUUGAUAAACAUCGAGAGCUUCUCCAGUCGUGUGGUGUCUUUAUCUGAAUACCGCCAGAGCCUACACACCUACCUGCGCUCCAAGAUGAGCCAAGUAGCCCCCAGCCUGUCAGCCCUAAUUGGGGAAGCGGUAGGUGCACGUCUCAUCGCACAUGCUGGCAGCCUCACCAACCUGGCCAAGUAUCCAGCAUCCACAGUGCAGAUCCUUGGGGCUGAAAAGGCCCUGUUCAGGUACCAGUGAGGGCACCUGCCCACAAUCAGGUGCCACUUCUGGUGCCCACUGCUUGUUGGGGGAUCACGGUGAUGGCUGACCAGGGCUCCCUGACCUAUACAGGCCUCUGCUAUGGGGGUGAUGGCCAGUCCUGGUGUCUGAGUGAUUCCCAGGGCCCAGCAAAGGGACCAAGUCUCCAGAGCCCUGAAGACAAGGGGUAACACUCCAAAAUAUGGACUCAUUUUCCACUCCACCUUCAUUGGCCGAGCAGCCGCCAAGAACAAAGGCCGCAUCUCCCGAUACCUGGCAAACAAAUGCAGUAUUGCCUCACGAAUCGAUUGUUUCUCUG
rnacentral:sRNA from 1 species